GUUGGUGAACCAGCGGAGGGAUCAUUACAGAGUGUAAAAACUCCCAAAACCCCUGUGAACAUACCAGUCGUUGCCUCGGCGGGACCGCCCCGGGCGCCAUCGCGUGCCCCGGAACCAGGCGCCCGCCGGGGGACUUAAACUCUUGUUUUCACCCUAGUGGUAUUAUCUGAGUGGGCUUUAAGCAAACAAAUGAAUCAAAACUUUCAACAACGGAUCUCUUGGUUCUGGCAUCGAUGAAGAACGCAGCAUC
rnacentral:misc_RNA from 1 species